GAGGUAGACGCUACCAAUCGUAUGUUGCCCAUGGUGGUCUGCGUUGGCUGUCCUCUCUAAUCGAAGCUGAAGCAGGGACAUCAAGGUCUACAGCUCAAGUCUGUGGGGUCCCUCGUACUAGUACGGAUCUUGACAGUAUGGGUUCUGUUCUCACUUCUUCAUUCCACUGUGGGAAUCGUUUUUUGUUUGGCACCUACUGGUCACCAGAAAAAUGAAUAUGUUUGGAGAGAAGGACGUGAAUUUUUUGUAUGAAGAAUGAGUGGUUGAACAACUUAUCUAUCUAUACUAAUAAAGUAGAGUUUUUUCUCUCAUUGGGGCAUUUUAUGACACUUGUCAAUUUAUCAUUUGCUGAAGGAUGUUUUAGAUUUGGGCUUUGUUUUUUGAUUUGGACUUCCGUAUUGUGUUUAUAUUGUUUUCGAUUUGGGUAUGUUAUGUUUUACUAAAGAUUUCAGGCCCAGUGAGAAUAAGUUUGGCUUUCUUCUGGCGGUAUUCCUUUGCAACCUCAGCCAACAAGUUGCAGAGAUUAGAGAUGACGAUCACCUAUCUGUAACGUCUCAAUUUCGCAUUGACGCCUAAUUUGCUCUUAGCCUCUACGUAAUGAACCCACUCUCCCAAUCUGCAGCAUUCAAUUAAUCUCAUCAAAUCCUCAAAGUAACCUACAAAAGCUUCGGGUAUAAAUAUCUCCACUUCCAGCCAUGGACAUUACAACUUCAACUCCGAAACUUAUUCAAGGAGUUAUCUUCCUGGCAUAGGCCUGAGAGAGAGAUAAGUAGAUUUGCUUUUACGCUUUGGUAUUUCUGAAGAAGUUAGCUCUUAUUCUUCGAAACUCUUCAUUGUUCUUAAUAUGAUAUGAAUAUGGUGAUAAAGUGAGAAUUUUUAAGGAAUCAAUAGACGAAUUUCAUAAAUUUUUAUGUUUUUUUGUUGGGUUUGUGGUUUGAUGAUUGUCAGAUUCAUUGACAUAAGAUUGAUUGGGUUGCUUUGAACCAAUCGCUUUUCUUUUAGGUUACAGGUGAGUAUGUUCUUACUAAAGCAAGAAGAAGAAGAAGACGGGAUCAAAAACUCCUUCAAUAUCGACUAAUGAAGCCAAUGCUUCUGUAGAUGAAAGGCAAAAGGUAAAGUACUCAAAAGGAUUAACAAGGCUGUUAGGGAGAGGAUUAUAUGCGAGCAUUUGAAUGAGCUUUUCAUCGAAUUAGCUAAUUCUCUUGGUAUAUUUUCUAUUGAUUUUGAAUGAACAAGUUGCGAGGCUGUAGCUGGUUACAUUUUGAAUAAGAUGGUGCUAGCUUUAGUCUUAACCAUGAACGUUUUUUUCUUCUCAUAACUGAAUCAGCAGAACAGUGGCAGAGUUUCGGUACUGUGUGAAGCUACUCAGUUCUUGAAGGACGUGUUUGGUCAGAUUGAGUCCCUUAUAAAUGGGCACACUUGUCUCCUCUCUGAUUCUAACUACGUAGCCACAGAGAAGAAUGAGCUCCAAGGAAGAAACAUCAGUGCUCGAGACCGAGAUAUCUAGACUACAAUCCGAGAUAGAAGCAAGAGUGAAUCAGUCCAAACCAGACUUGAACACCUCUCCUGCGCCUGAGUACCAUCAUCACUAUCAACAACAUUAUUAUAUUUCGUUUACUUUUCUUCACAAUAGAUUACACAAUUUUCGAGUUAAGAAUACUCUGUUUCAUGCAUGUGUAGCUUCAAUUAUAGUUACUCCACACCACAAUGUUAAAAGGAAUCUCAA